rnacentral:rRNA from 1 species
UACGGUAGGGUGCAAGCGUUAAUCGGAAUUACUGGGCGUAAAGCGUGCGCAGGCGGUUAUGCAAGACAGAUGUGAAAUCCCCGGGCUCAACCUGGGAACUGCAUUUGUGACUGCAUGGCUAGAGUACGGCAGAGGGGGAUGGAAUUCCGCGUGUAGCAGUGAAAUGCGUAGAUAUGCGGAGGAACACCGAUGGCGAAGGCAAUCCCCUGGGCCUGUACUGACGCUCAUGCACGAAAGCGUGGGGAGCAAACAGGA